AGCAGUCGCCGCGGGAAUACAGAGGAUGCAAGCGUUAUCCGGAAUUAUUGGGCGUAAAGGGCUCGCAGGCGGUUUCUUAAGUCUGAUGUGAAAGCCCCCGGCUCAACCGGGGAGGGUCAUUGGAAACUGGGAAACUUGAGUGCAGAAGAGGAGAGUGGAAUUCCACGUGUAGCGGUGAAAUGCGUAGAGAUGUGGAGGAACACCAGUGGCGAAGGCGACUCUCUGGUCUGUAACUGACACUGAGGCGCGAAAGCGUGGGGAGCAAACAGGAUUAGAUACCCCCGUAGUCCCUGUCUCUUAUAC
rnacentral:rRNA from 1 species